rnacentral:rRNA from 1 species
GACGAAGGGGGCUAGCGUUGUUCGGAGUUACUGGGCGUAAAGCGAGUGUAUGUGGUUGUCCAAGUUGGGUGUGAAAGCCUUGAGCUCAACUCAAGAAAUGCAUUCAGGACUGGGCGGCUAGAGGACCGGAGAGGAUAGUGGAAUUCCCAGUGUAGUGGUGAAAUACGUAGAGAUUGGGAAGAACACCAGUGGCGAAGGCGGCUAUCUGGACGGUUUCUGACACUAAGACUCGAAAGCGUGGGGAGCAAACAGG